UUGCGAUCGUGACAUUUUGAGUUUGAGUUGACUAAUAGAGCAAAUAUGGCGAGUCGUUUCUCAAAAUGUACGUAUAAUAAUAAACAAAAACAAAACGAGAUUUUCACUUUUUCCUUCAAAAUAUAAAAUUACGGAAUCUUAUUACAGCUGCACUUUUCAGUCGUUAGGGUUAAUAAAACAAACCUUUGGACCAAUAACGAGACAGAUAAUUUAUAGAUAAUUAUAUUAUAAUUUACCGAAAAUAUGUUUUUACUACAUAAUAUUAAAAAAGGAAGACUGCAAACAAUGUAUACUUUCGCUAACUGAAAAUACUUUGGUAAAAUUGACUCUAAGGGUGUUUGUGCACUCCAGUAUUGUGGUAUUCGAUUUAUAUUCGUGUUUUUGUGUACAUUAAACGGAGCCGUACAUCGAACGGAUAGUUCACGGAUGACUUGUGUAUCGAUUCAAAAUUCUACGAGUAGUAUUUCAAUAACAUUUCGUCCCCUCAUCUCUGCGUGAAAUCCACGAACCGAAUUUAGUGCUAAUGUACCUGCACUAAAUUAGGUUCGUGGAAUUCGUCAGGCAGCGUACGUAUAAUUAAGUAUAAAGGCUACUUUGAUCCGUAAAAACUAACUCGAUGUUAAAAAUUCAACGAAUUUCGUGGAAAAAAUAUGAUAGUAAGACAGUGCAGUGCACAAACAACUUUUAUGAAGGCUAUUUCCAAUCGUAUUUUCACGAAUCACGAACAAUAAUCGAAUACGAAUAAGUGCACAAACACCCUAAUGCUAUGCAUUCACUAAUAAACAUUUCUCAGUGAACAUUAUCGCAGAAAGAAUCAUCACAUUAUAAGAAUCUAGUUGUUUCUAAACCAUUGCUAAUUAUUGCAAAGGGUGGACUAAUAGGUAGCAUUGUCCAUCUCAAAGAAAGGAAUAUUUGGUUAAGAAAUUGUAAUAGAAACAUGGUUCACCAGUGAGCACAUGGCUUUACUAAGGAGUCGGAGGGAUCUAUUAGCGAGUGCAAAAAUAAGGUUGAUAAAAAUAUUGUUAUACUACUUACAUUUCCAUGAUAAAUAUUUCAUAUUGUGUAACAUGCAGUCUUAUACAUUUUAUCAUAAGCAAUUUCAUAUUAUAAUUGUGGCUCGGAAGUGAAACUAGGUAAUUCAAUUUUAUAUUACAUAAUUUUACUAAGAAUUCGUUUAUCUAAAGACAUUUGACAGAGUUCAGGAUGAAGGCAUACAUUGUUAUAGAACACAAAACACAACGCGACCCGCCAAUAGACCGUAUACGGCUCGGAUUACUAACCAAUUUUAAGAAAUUUAUAAAUAAAUCGUAAAAACAAUGUAACACUUACAACUAAUAUUGCAUAAGAGAAAUGAACGGGCACAUCGUCCGCGUAGCCAGCUUUCAUCCAGAUAUCACUAUUAAAAUAUCAACGGGCUGGUGUCGAUUCAUAUGCUUGUAUUGUAAAGAAAACCUAGUAUUCUUAACAAUUAUAAUACAAAUAUCUGGAAUAUUUUCAAUAUUUAUAUUACAAGCAUAGAAUACUCUAAACACCCACAUCAUAAUCGAAUCGAUAAUUUCUUACACAAUCACAUUUGAGAUUCAUAACAUUUUUCUGUCCACUUGUCAUGUUAUUUUAUAUUUUUUUCAUAAUAACCAUACAACCACGUUAUAUUUAAACAACAUAUUCGCAUAAUGAUUUUAGAUUACCGUGGGUAAUUACUAAAGUUUAGCACACAACCUGUAAGUUGGAUAAACAACUUUAUUUUCUUAAUUUGACUAAACACUCCUUAUAAGUCUAGAACAUAGUAUAGUGCAAACACCAAUCUUGUAGUCACAUUUACCGAAGUUCAACUUAGCAAGCACAGUUCUAUAAUAAUAUAUCAGACUUGAACACUAAAAUGUAAAGGAAUGAAAAGUUGGUUUUGUCACACAGUGUUCAAAACGUUAAACGUAAGGGUCACCCUAAUUAAAAAUCUUCGCAUUUCCAGUACCUUGUGCAUAGAUAGACAAGAACUGCGUAAAACCCGUCACAUACACGUAAAAUAAUAUCAAAUAGAAAUUAAUUAUCUUAGAGCAUAUUUAGAGAUUUUUUCGAUUUUUAUAAUACUUUAUUUUAAGAAGAUCCUAAAAUAUCUGAUAUAUAUCAAGAAUCUUAAGCUAUAGAAAUAUAAUAAAAUGAGUGGGUGCGAUAGUAUUAUGAUCUUACGAUAAAAUACACCGCGAUUUUACUACUUACAGCAUUUUUAGUGUAAACUAUUCAAAAUUUGUUUUUAGUAUUUAAGCAGAUGUGUAAAAAAAUAUUAUCUUGCGUGUCUGUGAUGGUCUCAGGCUGAGAUCUAAAGAACGCACUUUGACUUUGCUUAGACUUAAGACACUGUUAAAACGAGACAGCGUCAUAUUGCCCACAUAAAUCUAUCUCGUUUUAACUGAAACUUAAGUCUAAGCAAAGCCAAAGUACGCUCUAUAGAUCUAAGCCUCACUUUCAAAGCUUAAGACUCCACUACUGACUUUUGUCGCAGUAAAUAACCAGUCUCUAGUGAAGCCUAGGACUAAAUCUUAAGGCAAAUUAUAAGUUAUCAAUAUAUUUUUCUAUAUUCACGUUUACAUGUGAUCAGUCACCAUAAUAAUGUUCUAAAUUAAUGGGAAAAUAAUAUGAUACAAACAAAACUACAAAUGUUAUUUGACUAGACAGUACUUUAGUACCGACAUACGGUCACGUAUAGUCACGCUGUGGCAAUUUCACAAGCACUUAUAUAGGCCUUAAAAAUCUGAAUAGGGCUUUUAGUGCAAAUAUUAUGUGCUACUAUUAUAAACUAACGGUGAAGUUUCAUAGAAGGUACGCAAAUAUCACAAAUUAACAGCGGAAAUUAUGAAAUGGAUAUCGAUCUUAGCAAUAUAAUAAAAGUUUUGUCGACAAAUAUUUUAAUAAUAAUAUAUUUUAGUAAAGUUAAAAUUUUCUGAUUAUACUAUAUUACGUUUUUUUAAGAAACUGCUAAAAUAUUGUGCAUUUUAAAAUUUGUGCUAAGCAUUUUUAACAUUUUUAAAGUUA